UACGUAGGUGGCGAGCGUUAUCCGGAAUUAUUUGGCGUAAAGAGCGCGCAGGUGGUUGAUUAAGUCUGAUGUGAAAGCCCACGGCUUAACCGUGGAGGGUCAUUGGAAACUGGUCGACUUGAGUGCAGAAGAGGGAAGUGGAAUUCCAUGUGUAGCGGUGAAAUGCGUAGAGAUAUGGAGGAACACCAGUGGCGAAGGCGGCUUCCUGGUCUGCAACUGACACUGAGGCGCGAAAGCGUGGGGAGCAAACAGGAUUAGA
rnacentral:rRNA from 1 species